rnacentral:rRNA from 1 species
UACGUAGGGGGCAAGCGUUAUCCGGAUUUACUGGGUGUAAAGGGGGCGCAGACGGCGAUGCAAGCCAGGAGUGAAAGCCCGGGGCCCAACCCCCGGACUGCUCUGGAAACUAUGUUACUAGAGUGCAGGAGAGGUAAGCGGAAUUCCUAGUGUAGCGGUGAAAUGCGUAGACAUUAGGAGGAACACCAGUGGCGAAGGCGGCUAACUGGACUGUAACUGACGUUGAGGCUCGAAAGCGUGGGGAGCAAACAGG